AGUGGAAUUGCUGGAUCACGUAGUAAGUUUGUUUAACUUUAAAAAAAACUGCCAAAUUGUCUUCCAAAGUGGCUGUACAAUUUUCUAUUUCUACUAGCAAU
rnacentral:pre_miRNA from 1 species